rnacentral:rRNA from 1 species
GAAUAUUGGACAAUGGGCGAAAGCCUGAUCCAGCCAUGCCGCGUGGGUGAAGAAGGUCUUCGGGUUGUAAAGCCCUUUUGUUGGGGAAGAAAUCCUGCUGGCUAAUACCCGGCGGGGAUGACGGUACCCAAAGAAUAAUCCCGGGCUAACUUCGUGCCAGCAGCCGCGGUAAUACGAAGGGUGCAAGCGUCAAUCGUGAUUACUGGGCGUAAAGCGGGCUUAGGUGGUGGCUUAAGUCCGUUGUGAAAGCCCUGGGCUCAACCUGGGAAUUGCAGUGGAUACUGGGUCACUAGAGUGUGGUAGAGGGUGGCGGAAUUCCCGGUGUAGCAGUGAAAUGCGUAGAGAUCGGGAGGAACACCCGUGGCGAAGGCGGCCACCUGGGCCAACACUGACACUGAGGCACGAAAGCGUGGGGAGCAAACA